CCAGCUAUUCCAUUAGCUGUAGCCUACCGGAACAGGCGUCGCUGGAAACGGCGGGGUCUGAAGCUUCCGGGACAACGAGAUCGGGCGUCAGCCCGGGGACAGUCCCGUGAGGGACUCUCCCCUGCUGCAAGCAUCAUGCGGCUGGAUUG
rfam:Pantoea wallisii strain LMG 26277 Contig0118_, whole genome shotgun sequence.